rnacentral:miRNA from 1 species
GUGUGUGCGUGCAUGUGCACGUGUGUGCACCAUGUGUGCAUGUGUACACAUGUGUGUGUGUGCAUGUGUGUGUGCACGUGUGUGCAUGUGCAUGUGUGUAUGUGAGUGCAUGUGUACGU